rnacentral:rRNA from 1 species
AGUUGAACGAGAAAGCACCUUCGGGUGUGAUUAGAGCGGCGGACGGGUGAGUAACGCGUGGGAAUCUACCCAGUAGCGGGGGAUAACUUGUGGAAACGCAAGCUAAUACCAUAUAGUCCCUCCGGGGUAAAGAUUUAUCGCUAAAAGAUCGGCCCGCGUCCAAUUAGCUAGUUGGUAAGGUAAUGGCUUACCAAGGCGACGAUUGGUAGCUGGUUUGAGAGGAUGAUCAGCCACACUGGAACUGAGACACGGUCCAGACUCCUACGGGAGGCAGCAGUGGGGAAUAUUGCGCAAUGGAGGAAACUCUGACGCAGCCAUGCCGCGUGAGUGAAGAAGGCCUUCGGGUUGUAAAGCUCUUUUACCUGUGAUGAUAAUGACAGUAGCAGGAGAAAAAGCUCCGGCUAACUUCGUGCCAGCAGCCGCGGUAAUACGAAGGGAGCGAGCGUUGUUCGGAAUUACUGGGCGUAAAGCGUGCGUAGGCGGUUUAGCAAGUUAGAAGUGAAAGCCCUGGGCUCAACCUAGGAAUUGCUUUUAAAACUGCUAAACUAGAAUCUCGGAGGGGAUGGUGGAAUUUCCAGUGUAGAGGUGAAAUUCGUAGAUAUUGGAAGGAACACCAGUGGCGAAGGCGACCAUCUGGACGAGUAUUGACGCUGAGGCACGAAAGCGUGGGGAGCAAACAGGAUUAGAUACCCUGGUAGUCCACGCCGUAAACGAUGUAAACUAGCCGUUGGGACCUUAGGUUUCAGUGGCGCAGCUAACGCACUAAGUUUACCGCCUGGGGAGUACGGCCGCAAGGUUAAAACUCAAAGGAAUUGACGGGGACCCGCACAAGCGGUGGAGCAUGUGGUUUAAUUCGAUGCAACGCGCAGAACCUUACCAGCCCUUGACAUCCCGAUUGGGAGGAGCAGAGAUGCACCUCUUCAUUUAGUUGGAUCGGUGACAGGUGCUGCAUGGCUGUCGUCAGCUCGUUGUCGUGAGAUGUUGGGUUAAGUCCCGCAACGAGCGCAACCCUCGCCCUUAGUUGCCAUCAUUUAGUUGGGCACUCUAGGGGAACUGCCGGUGACAAGCCGGAGGAAGGUGGGGAUGACGUCAAGUCCUCAUGGCCCUUACGGGCUGGGCUACACACGUGCUACAAUGGCGGUGACAGUGGGCCGCGACCCUGCGAGGGGAAGCGAAUCUCUAAAAGCCGUCUCAGUUCGGAUUGUUCUCUGCAACUCGAGAGCAUGAAGUUGGAAUCGCUAGUAAUCGUGGAUCAGCAUGCCACGGUGAAUACGUUCCCGGGCCUUGUACACACCGCCCGUCACACCAUGGGAGUUGGUUUUACCCGAAGACGGUGUGCUAACCCGCAGGAGGCAGCCA